AGCUCAAAUUUGAAAUCUGGCGUAAGCCCGAGUUGUAAUUUGUAGAGGAUGCUUCUGGGUAGCGGCCGGUCUAAGUUCCUUGGAACAGGACGUCAUAGAGGGUGAGAAUCCCGUAUGCGACUGGCUUGCACCCUCCACGUAGCUCCUUCGACGAGUCGAGUUGUUUGGGAAUGCAGCUCUAAAUGGGAGGUAAAUUUCUUCUAAAGCUAAAUACCGGCCAGAGACCGAUAGCGCACAAGUAGAGUGAUCGAAAGAUGAAAAGCACUUUGGAAAGAGAGUUAAAAAGCACGUGAAAUUGUUGAAAGGGAAGCGCCCGCAACCAGACUUUGCGGCGGUGUUCCGCCGGUCUUCUGACCGGUUUAUUCGCCGCCGUGAGGCCAUCAUCGUCUGGGACCGCUGGAUAAGACCUCAGGAAUGUAGCUUCCCUCGGGAAGUGUUAUAGCCUCUGGUGAUGCAGCGCGUCUCGGGCGAGGUCCGCGCUUCGGCAAGGAUGAUGGCGUAAUGGUUGUCGGCGGCCCGUCUUGAAACACGGACCAAGGAGUCUAACAUCUAUGCGAGUGUUCGGGUGUCAAACCCCUACGCGUAAUGAAAGUGAACGGAGGUGGGAACUUUUUGUGCACCAUCGACCGAUCCUGAUGUCCUCGGAUGGAUUUGAGUAAGAGCAUAGCUGUUGGGACCCGAAAGAUGGUGAACUAUGCCUGAAUAGGGUGAAGCCAGAGGAAACUCUGGUGGA
rnacentral:rRNA from 1 species